rnacentral:rRNA from 1 species
CAGACGAGGAGCUUGCUCCUUUGACGUUAGCGGCGGACGGGUGAGUAACACGUGGGUAACCUACCUAUAAGACUGGGAUAACUUCGGGAAACCGGAGCUAAUACCGGAUAAUAUUUCGAACCGCAUGGUUCGAUAGUGAAAGAUGGCUCUGCUAUCACUUAUAGAUGGACCUGCGCCGUAUUAGCUAGUUGGUAAGGUAACGGCUUACCAAGGCAACGAUACGUAGCCGACCUGAGAGGGUGAUCGGCCACACUGGAACUGAGACACGGUCCAGACUCCUACGGGAGGCAGCAGUAGGGAAUCUUCCGCAAUGGGCGAAAGCCUGACGGAGCAACGCCGCGUGAGUGAUGAAGGUCUUCGGAUCGUAAAACUCUGUUAUUAGGGAAGAACAAACGUGUAAGUAACUGUGCACGUCUUGACGGUACCUAAUCAGAAAGCCACGGCUAACUACGUGCCAGCAGCCGCGGUAAUACGUAGGUGGCAAGCGUUAUCCGGAAUUAUUGGGCGUAAAGCGCGCGUAGGCGGUUUUUUAAGUCUGAUGUGAAAGCCCACGGCUCAACCGUGGAGGGUCAUUGGAAACUGGAAAACUUGAGUGCAGAAGAGGAAAGUGGAAUUCCAUGUGUAGCGGUGAAAUGCGCAGAGAUAUGGAGGAACACCAGUGGCGAAGGCGACUUUCUGGUCUGUAACUGACGCUGAUGUGCGAAAGCGUGGGGAUCAAACAGGAUUAGAUACCCUGGGUAGUCCACGCCGUAAACGAUGAGUGCUAAGUGUUAGGGG